UCCAAGUCAGGACACAGCAUGGACAUGAGGGCCCCCGCUCAGCUCCUGGGGCUCCUGCUGCUCUGGCUCCCAGGUUCCAGAUGUGACAUCCAGAUGACCCAGUCUCCAUCCUCACAUUCUGCAUCUAUAGGAGACACUGUCAGCAUCAGGUGCAAGGCCAGUGAGAGCAUAGGUAGUUAUUUAGCCUGGUAUCAACAGAAACCAGGGAAAGCUCCUAAACUCCUGAUUUUUGCUGCAAGCAGUUUGGAAUCUGGGAUCCCACGGAGGUUCAGUGGCAGUGGAUCUGGGACAGAUUUCACUCUCACCAUCAGCAGCCUGGAGCCUGAAGAUGUUGGAAUUUAUUUCUGUCAACAGGAUUAUAGUACACCUCCCACAGUGAUACAAGCCAUGACGUAAACCACCCAGGAAAGC